CAGCAGCCGCGGUAAUACCGGCGGCCCGAGUGGCGGUCACUAUUAUUGGGCUUAAAGCGUCCGUAGCCGGGUUGGGAAGUCCUCCGGGAAAUCUGGCCGCUUAACGGUCAGAAUGCCGGAGGAUACUCCCAGCCUAGGGAGCGGGAGAGGCCGAGGGUAUUCCCGGAGUAGGGGUGAAAUCCUAUAAUCCCGGGAGGUACACCUGUGGCGAAGGCGCUCGGCUGGAACGCGUCCGACGGUGAGGGACGAAGGCCAGGGGAGCAAACCGGAGUAGAUACCCGGGUAGUCCUGGCUGUAAACGAUGCGGACUUUGUGUCGGACAAGCUAUGAGCUUGUCCGGUGCCGGAGGGAAACCGUUAAGUCCGCCGCCUGGGGAGUACGGCCGCAAGGCUGAAACUUAAAGGAAUUGGCGGG
rnacentral:rRNA from 1 species